rnacentral:misc_RNA from 1 species
GAUGAAGAACGCAGCAAAAUGCGAUAAGUAAUGUGAAUUGCAGAAUUCCGUGAAUCAUCGAAUCUUUGAACGCACAUUGCGCCCCCUGGUAUUCCGGGGGGCAUGCCUGUCCGAGCGUCAUUGCAACCUUCAAGCGCGGCUUGUGUGUUGGGUCUCGUCCCCCGUGGACGGGCCCGAAAGGCAGUGGCGGCGUCCCGACAUGGUGCCCGAGCGUAUGGGAAUCCUCUUCCGCUCGAAUCGGCCCAUGCGGCGCUGGUCGUAACCAAAUUUUUUACCGGUUGACCUCGGAUCAGGUAGGGAUACCCGCUGAACUUAAGCAUAUCAAUAAGCGGAGGA